rnacentral:rRNA from 1 species
GACGGAGGAUGCAAGUGUUAUCCGGAAUCACUGGGCGUAAAGCGUCUGUAGGUGGUUUAAAAAAGUCUACUGUUAAAGCUUGAAGCUUAACUUCAAAAAUGCCGUAGAAACUUUUAAACUUGAGUAUGGUAGGGGUAGAGGGAAUUUCCAGUGGAGCGGUGAAAUGCGUAGAUCUUGGAAAGACCACCAAUGGCGAAGGCAGCCCCCUGGGUCAAGAUUGACGCUCAUGCACGAAAGCGUGGGGAGCAAACAGG